GACGAACGCUGGCGGCGUGCUUAACACAUGCAAGUCGAACGCUGAAGCCCCAGCUUGCUGGGGUGGAUGAGUGGCGAACGGGUGAGUAACACGUGAGUAACCUGCCCAUCACUCUGGGAUAAGCGCUGGAAACGGCGUCUAAUACUGGAUACGAGCAGCGGCCGCAUGGUCAGCUGCUGGAAAGACUGGUUCGGUGAUGGAUGGACUCGCGGCCUAUCAGCUUGUUGGUGAGGUAAUGGCUCACCAAGGCGACGACGGGUAGCCGGCCUGAGAGGGUGACCGGCCACACUGGGACUGAGACACGGCCCAGACUCCUACGGGAGGCAGCAGUGGGGAAUAUUGCACAAUGGGCGCAAGCCUGAUGCAGCAACGCCGCGUGAGGGAUGACGGCCUUCGGGUUGUAAACCUCUUUUAGUAGGGAAGAAGCCUUCGGGUGACGGUACCUGCAGAAAAAGCACCGGCUAACUACGUGCCAGCCGCCGCCGUAACAC
rnacentral:rRNA from 1 species